rnacentral:rRNA from 1 species
AUUGAACGCUGGCGGCAUGCUUUACACAUGCAAGUCGAACGGCAGCGCGGGCUUCGGCCUGGCGGCGAGUGGCGAACGGGUGAGUAAUGCAUCGGAACGUGCCCAGUAGUGGGGGAUAGCCCGGCGAAAGCCGGAUUAAUACCGCAUACGACCUGAGGGUGAAAGCGGGGGACCGAAAGGCCUCGCGCUAUUUGAGCGGCCGAUGUCGGAUUAGCUAGUUGGUGGGGUAAAGGCUUACCAAGGCGACGAUCCGUAGCUGGUCUGAGAGGACGACCAGCCACACUGGGACUGAGACACGGCCCAGACUCAUACGGGAGGCAGAAGUGGGGAAUUUUGGACAAGGGGGGCAACCCUGAUCCAGCCAUGCCGCGUGCGGGAAGAAGGCCUUCGGGUUGUAAACCGCUUUUGUUCGGGAAGAAAUCCUCUGGGCUAAUACCCCGGGGGGAUGACGGGACCGGAAGAAUAAGCACCGGCUAACUACGU